GCGAAAGUGGCGGAACUGGUAGACGCGCUGGACUUAGGAUCCAGUGCCGCAAGGCGUGGGGGUUCGACUCCCCCCUUUCGCACCA
rnacentral:tRNA from 1 species